rnacentral:rRNA from 1 species
AACGAACGCUGGCGGCAGGCUUAACACAUGUAAGUCGAGCGCCCCGCAAGGGGAGCGGCAGACGGGUGAGUAACGCGUGGGAAUCUACCCAUCUCUACGGAAUAACGCAUGGAAACGUGUGCUAAUACCGUAUACGUCCUUCGGGAGAAAGAUUUAUCGGAGAUGGAUGAGCCGCGUUGGAUUAGCUAGUUGGUGGGGUAAAGGCCUACCAAGGCGACGAUCCAUAGCUGGUCUGAGAGGAUGAUCAGCCACACUGGGACUGAGACACGGCCCAGACUCCUACGGGAGGCAGCAGUGGGGAAUACUGGACAAUGGGCGCAAGCCUGAUCCAGCCAUGCCGCGUGAGUGAUGAAGGCCCUAGGGUUGUAAAGCUCUUUCACCGGUGAAGAUAAUGACGGUAACCGGAGAAGAAGCCCCGGCUAACUUCGUGCCAGCCGCCGCCGUAACAC